rnacentral:rRNA from 1 species
UACGUAGGGUGCGAGCGUUGUCCGGAAUUAUUGGGCGUAAAGAGCGUGUAGGCGGCCUGACAGGUCUGCUGUGAAAACUCGAGGCUCAACCUCGAGAUGUCGGCGGAAACCGUCUGGCUAGAGUCCGGAAGAGGAGAGUGGAAUUCCUGGUGUAGCGGUGAAAUGCGCAGAUAUCAGGAAGAACACCUAUGGCGAAGGCAGCUCUCUGGGACGGUACUGACGCUGAGACGCGAAAGCGUGGGGAGCGAACAGG